rnacentral:lncRNA from 1 species
GAGAACACGGCACGGGGCUCAUCCAACUUCUGCAUGUGAAGCGCUCUGACACCCUCUUUAAGAGCCUCGCUCCAAGCUGCCACAUUGCUGCUACUAAUGGAAGAUUCACGUAGAGGAGGCUGGUGGGAAAUAUUAUCAGACAAGCUUUGAUGACGUACAAAGGUUGCAUCUGAGUCGGAGACCUGCACUCUUUCUGGUCCCUGCAAAGGCUUCCCACCCCACCCAGAAUUCCCUGUCACAUUCUGUGAUUAGAAUACGGACAUCCACCCACGAACUAAAAGCCAGGAAGUUUUGGCAAGAAAAAAAAUAAAGAAAUUCUAUUGGCUGGGCUGUCUCCCACUGUCCGUACAGGCGCCCGGCAGACGACACUUCCCAAGAUAAAACAAACGAUCACGCCACUGUAUUUAAUGGAAUUGGGAUGGUGGGUAGAUUUAGCGUCUUCAUCACUGACCUCCAUCAUGGCUCCCCAGACCUCGAUUCAGCCCUCUCACAGUUCACAAAUUCUAAAAGUCACCCUUGGUGCUUGAGCCAAAAGAGCAAGUGUAAGCGCGGAGCCUUUCACAUGUACCCGCGAGAGUCAGCACGCCUCGACCAACCCCGUCACUCAGGGGGCAGCCCACAUGGCAAAGCAAAAGGCCCGCACCCCCUGAGCAUCUCCUCGACUGCAUCCUGACACUCAGCAACCUGUUGUCGGCGCCGUCUUCUCGGCGUAAAGCUUCCCAAGCAAUAAAUCAGCUUCCUGCCUGGCUGUUCGGUACGGACUCAUCACUUCGCACAUC